AGAGUUUGAUCAUGGCUCAGGACGAACGCUGGCGGCGCGCCUAACACAUGCAAGUCGCGCGGUUAAAGCUGCUUCGGCAGUGCAUAAAGCGGCGAACGGGCGAGUAACGCGUGGGCAACCUGCCCCCCUCCCGGGAAUAGCCGGGGGAAACCCCGGGUAAGGCCCGGCGACCCCCAGGUGAGGCAUCUUACCUGGGGCAUACGGAGGGGAGGGGGAUGGGCCCGCGUCCGAUUAGCCAGACGGCGGGGUGACGGCCCACCGUGGCGACGAUCGGUAGCCGGGCUGAGAGGCCGGACGGCCGCAUUGGGACUGAGACACGGCCCAG
rnacentral:rRNA from 1 species